UACGUAGGGCGCAAGCGUUGUCCGGAAUUAUUGGGCGUAAAGAGCUCGUAGGCGGUCUGUUGCGUCCGCUGUGAAAACCCAGGGCUUAACCCUGGGCUUGCAGUGGAUACGGGCAGACUAGAGGCAGGUAGGGGAGAAUGGAAUUCCCGGUGUAGCGGUGAAAUGCGCAGAUAUCGGGAGGAACACCGGUGGCGAAGGCGGUUCUCUGGGACGGUACUGACGCUGAGACGCGAAAGCGUGGGGAGCGAACAGG
rnacentral:rRNA from 1 species